UUGCACUGUUCGUAACCUGUUGACAGUAUCUUCCUGGUAAUGGGUUCCAUUCCAGUGCUACAUUAAAUCCAAUAAUAGAAGACUGACAAAUUAUGUCUCUUCUAGAUUUGGGAACAAAC
ensembl:snoRNA small nucleolar RNA SNORA54